UUACGUAUCUUUAGAAGAAACGUAUUUUUAUACUUACUCGAGUAUGAAAAUAUGGGAUGAGAAUGGGUGAGAUCGUUGGACUCGAUCCACAGGCAGAAGGUGAAUUCGGUGAAUCUUGGCACGGGUAACUCCCAACGUAGAAACUGGUUGAGAAGAGUAGAGAGAAAAUGGAUUAAUUUUUAGAUCUUGGGUAACUUUUUAAUCGAGGUAGAUUUUUAACGAGCUCGAAUUCCAUCACACCAUUUCUGCAACACGCGCUUAAUCAAUUCCUUAAGUAUACGAGGAUUGGGUAAUGCGAGACUGUUUAAGGUGGUGCUGGUAGAAUGGAUUAGUUCUACGUUCUUGAAUAAUCGAUAAUGGCGAGGGCGAUGCACGGGCGACACGCCAAAAAUAGAGAAUACUCGGAGAAAAUAGAUUCGUUACCAAGUUAGGGGACCC